rnacentral:rRNA from 1 species
AGCGAACGCUGGCGGCAGGCCUAACACAUGCAAGUCGAACGAACUCUUCGGAGUUAGUGGCGGACGGGUGAGUAACACGUGGGAACGUGCCUUUAGGUUCGGAAUAACUCAGGGAAACUUGUGCUAAUACCGAAUGUGCCCUUCGGGGGCAAGAUUUAUCGCCUUUAGAGCGGCCCGCGUCUGAUUAGCUAGUUGGUGAGGUAAAGGCUCACCAAGGCGACGAUCAGUAGCUGGUCUGAGAGGAUGAUCAGCCACAUUGGGACUGAGACACGGCCCAAACUCCUACGGGAGGCAGCAGUGGGGAAUCUUGCGCAAUGGGCGAAAGCCUGACGCAGCCAUGCCGCGUGAAUGAUGAAGGUCUUAGGAUUGUAAAAUUCUUCCACCGGGGACGAUAAUGACGGUACCCGGAGAAGAAGCCCCGGCUAACUUCGUGCCAGCCGCCGCAGUAA